rnacentral:rRNA from 1 species
UACGGAGGAUGCAAGCGUUAUCCGGAAUGAUUGGGCGUAAAGCGUCCGCAGGUGGCAAUGUAAGUCUGCUGUCAAAGCGUCUGGCUCAACCAGAUACAGGCAGUGGAAACUACAUAGCUAGAGUAAGGUAGGGGUAGAGGGAAUUCCGGGUGUAGUGGUGAAAUGCGUAGAGAUCCGGAGGAACCCCAGAGGCGAAGGCGGCGCCCUGGCUCGCAACUGACGCUCAGACACGACAGCAUGGGGAGCGAACGGG